rnacentral:lncRNA from 10 species
CUUCUCAGACCCUGUAGGAAAGGCCUUUACUUAUUCAGUGAAAGUGUCUAUUUAGACUAAGAGGUAUUUAGUUUCCUGACUGGGGCAUGUUGAGUAAAGCUAAUUUGCCAGUCCUGGGUGGGGGCAAAUCCUCGAGCUUGAUGUGUAGGGAAGGGAGGGGGCCUGAAUAAUGUGAGGAACAGGAAAGAAGGAAAUUUGGGGAAAUGGGGUGAAUGUCAGAUAUAGCUGUAGUCCAGGAAUAGUCAGGGAAGCAGAUAAUUUAAAGUGUCUUAAGCCUAAUAAGGGAACUGGGCAGGUGGGGGCCUAUUCACUUCUUUUGUGAUUCUUCAGUUACUUCAGGUCAUCUGGGCGUAUACGUGCA